rnacentral:rRNA from 1 species
GAUUUCUGGUUCGGCGCACUUGGCCCGCCUCGGUUUACGGGGUUGUGUGCCGGUGUGCGCCAUCCAUCCUUCGAGUCAACGAUUCUGCCCUUCACUGGGUUGGAGUCGCACAGCUCGAUCUUUUACUUUGAAAAAAUUAGAGUGUUUAAAGCAGGCUUGCGCUAUGAAUACAUUAGCAUGGAAUAAUAAUUUAGGACUUUGGUCUUAUUUUGUUGGUUUCUAGGACUGAAGUAAUGAUUGAUAGGGACAGUUGGGGGUGCUAGUAUUCAGCGGCCAGAGGUGAAAUUCUUGGAUUCGCUGAAGACUAACUUAUGCGAAAGCAUU